UACGAAGGGGGCUAGCGUUGCUCGGAAUGACUGGGCGUAAAGGGCGCGUAGGCGGCUCAUACAGUCAGAUGUGAAAUUCCUGGGCUUAACCUGGGGGCUGCAUUUGAUACGUGUGGGCUUGAGUGGGGAAGAGGGUCGUGGAAUUCCCAGUGUAGAGGUGAAAUUCGUAGAUAUUGGGAAGAACACCGGUGGCGAAGGCGGCGACCUGGUCCUUGACUGACGCUGAGGCGCGAAAGCCAGGGGAGCAAACGGG
rnacentral:rRNA from 1 species